rnacentral:lncRNA from 1 species
UUUCUUUUCUUCUUAUCUCUAUACGUUGGUGUUCUAACCAAUAAUCACUGAUGCGAUAUUUUAUCUGAUCGAUUCGGAAACCAACUAACGAAUGCCCAAGUGCUGUCUAAAUAAGACUGUACUUUGUGAAUUUCUCCAAGGUUCUGAUCUCAUGACCAUCGUUAGGUUUAAUGUGGUUUUACACUAAUACGUAUUCCACUCUGUUAAACUAAACUCCUGUCCAUAAACCUACUAUCAAACAAGAUGUAUAAUCAUUAGAAGACUUAGAAUCAAGAUACUUGUUUAAUCAAGACUAUAUGCUAACAAGGUGAUUACAGUAGAUUGGAAUAAGAGUGAUGAUACGUUACCGAAAGGCUUAAAGAAAUGGCUUAUUUUAUCAAUUAAAUUAAAUUAAGAAA